AGAAACCAACAGGGUAUUGCCUCAGUAACSGGCGAGUGAAGCGGCAACAGCUCAAAUUUGAAAUCUGCCCGCAAGGGUCGAGUUGUAAUUUGUAGAGGAUGUUUUGGGUACCGCCACGGUUUAAUUUUCUUGGAACAGGAAGCCAAAGAGGGUGAGAGUCCCGUCUUGGAUCGUGGUAGGGCUCGUGUAAAACUCCUUCGACGAGUCGAGUUGUUUGGGAAUGCAGCUCAAAAUGGGUGGUAAAUUUCAUCUAAAGCUAAAUAUUGGCCAGAGACCGAUAGCGCACAAGUAGAGUGAUCGAAAGAUGAAAAGCACUUUGAAAAGAGAGUUAAACAGUAUGUGAAAUUGUUGAAAGGGAAGCGCUGGCAACCAGACUYGAGUGCAACAUUCCCCAGGUUCUGCCUGGUCAUUUUGUUGUAUCCGGGCCAUCAUCAGUUUUGAGGGUUGGUUAAAGAUUUUGGGAAUGUACCAUCUCCUCCGGGGGAUGACUUAUAGCCCAGAAUGUCAUGCAACCUCUUGGGACUGAGGAACGCGCUUCGGCGAGGAUGAUGGCGUAAUGGUUGUCAGCGACCCGUCUUGAAACACGGACCAAGGAGUCUAACAUCUAUGCGAGUGUUCGGGUGUCAAACCCCCUGCGCGGAAUGAAAGUGAACGGAGGUAGGAAGGCUUGAGCCUGCACUAUCGACCGAUCCUGAUGUCUUCGGAUGGAUUUGAGUAAGAGCAUAGCUGUUGGGACCCGAAAGAUGGUGAACUAUGCGUGAAUAGGGUGAAGCCAGAGGAAACUCUGGUGGAGGCUCGCAGCGGUUCUGACGUGCAAAUCGAUCGUCAAAUUUGCGUAUAGGGGCGAAAGACUAAUCGAACCAU
rnacentral:rRNA from 1 species